CUUCACCGAACCCAACCACACCGGGCGGCCGACCUGACCGUAGGUGGCCAGCAGGGCCCGCGCCUC
rnacentral:antisense_RNA from 1 species